GACGUAGGGCGCGAGCGUUGUCCGGAUUUAUUGGGCGUAAAGAGCUCGUAGGCGGCUUGUCGCGUCGACUGUGAAAACCCGCGGCUCAACUGUGGGCUUGCAGUCGAUACGGGCAGGCUGGAGUUCGGUAGGGGAGACUGGAAUUCCUGGAUGUAGCGGUGAAAUGCGCAGAUAUCAGGAGGAACACCGAUGGCGAAGGCAGGUCUCGUGGGCAUUAACUGACGCUGGAGGAGCGAAAGCAUGGGGAGCGAACAGG
rnacentral:rRNA from 1 species